rnacentral:tRNA from 1 species
UGCCGGAUGAGGUAACGGUAGCCUGCCAGGCUCUGAACCUGGUCGUCUAGGUUCGAAUCCUAGUCCGGCAG